rnacentral:ncRNA from 1 species
AAAGUCUUUAGUAUCUCGAAGUUCUGCGUACUACGCAGAGGGUUUUUUAGAGGUGUUUUGGGCUUU